AUAGAAAAUUAACACCAUGUGAAGGUGAAGGCAGAGACUGGGUGAUGCUUCUAUAAACCAAGAAACUCCAAGGACUGUCAGCAAACCAGCAGAAGCUAGGAGAGAGGCAUGGAACGGAUUUCUCCUCACAGCCCUCAGAAGAAACCAACCCUGUCACCAUUUUGAUCUUGGACUUUAGCCUCUGGAACUGUGAGACAAUACAUUUCUGUUUGUUUCAGCCACCUAGUUCAUAGUACUUUGAAGUGACCUUUACACCACUCUCACUUAGAGAUGAGGUCUGUGUCCCCUCCUCUUGAAAUUGAGUGGCUUUUGUGACUGUGUACACAGGUAGAGUAAACUGCAGAGCUGCCUGUCUGUGACUUCCAAGGCUAGGUCAUAAAAGGAGAUAAAGCUUCUUCCUGGCUGGUUGGGCUGCUUGCUCUUGAAGCCUUCAGUCUCUAUGCACGCAGCAUGCCUUCCCAGCCUCCUGUGGUUGUAGAGUGUAUAGAAGGCAGUUGGAUCACUAUGGACAGCGGGUAAGAGCUGAGGAAGCAGCCUCCGCCAGGUGGUAACAUGGAGGACCCUGAAGUGCCCUGAGGGUUCGAGGUCUUGGACUUGCUACUAACCUACCAGGUAACCAUGGACAAUCCCGUUCUCCUUCUUGGAUUAAUAAUCAUAAAAGCCACACUUUACUGAGUCAUGAACAGGUUCAAGGUGCUGAUUGCUCACCACUCACAACAGUUCCUUGAGGUAAGUAUGGUUACACCCAUUUUACAGAUGAGGAAGCUGAGUUUGGAGAGAUUUAGUAAUUUACCCAGGGCCAUAUGGAAGCAAGGUGGAGCUGCAGUUCCACUCCAGUGCCAGAGGUCAAGGGAAAAUGCACUCUCCCACGGGGCAUCUUGGCGGUGAGGUGCCAGGAAAGAGUUUUAAGUAGAAAGAUGACACAAUCAAACCUUUGUUUGGAAGAUGGAUCCAAUGUGGGGUGACCAGAAAGGAGGUGUUAUAGUGGUCCAGGCUGGAACUAGGGCAGGGACUGUGGGCUGGAGAGGCAGGGCUGGAUAAGAGUUACAUGGCAAAGGACAAAUCCCCAGCACAUUGGGUUGGAGUGGACAGAGCAGUGGGAGAUUCUGAGGUUUUCAGUGGUGUGGCAGGAAGGAUGAUGGCAGAGACAAGGAGGAGUGGAGGAAGAGGAGGUUUUGGGGGCAGAUGAGAGCUUCACAGCCUAGAAGUAGCCCUGUCCUGGCACUGCGGAAGAGCCUCUGUCCAGACAGCAGUGCCUGAGGUCAUCUGUGGUGUGGAAUUCUAUCUUUCUUUCUUAAUGGUUUCCCAGGCAGGGGCCAUAUCUUCCUGUUUACUCUUUUAAGAAUUAUUUGAAAUGGAGUGUAUGUGUGUGUGUGUGUGUGUGUGUGUGUUUAUUUCUCAGCUUUUAACCUUGCCAACUUGUGCC
rnacentral:lncRNA from 1 species